rnacentral:rRNA from 1 species
CAGUAGCCACGGUAAUACAGAGGGUGCGAGCGUUAAUCGGAUUUACUGGGCGUAAAGCGUGCGUAGGUGGUGGUUUAAGUCCGUUGUGAAAGCCCUGGGCUCAACCUGGGAAUUGCAGUGGAUACUGGGUCACUAGAGUGUGGUAGAGGAUAGUGGAAUUUCCGGUGUAGCAGUGAAAUGCGUAGAGAUCGGAAGGAACAUCUGUGGCGAAGGCGACUAUCUGGGCCAACACUGACACUGAGGCACGAAAGCGUGGGGAGCAAACAGGAUUAGAUACCCCCGUAGUCCCUGUCUCUUAUAC